UGAGUUUAGUGCUUCUGUUAGCAUUGACCAUGUGGUUCUGUGUGCUAAUGACAGCGUUAGAGGAGUGUGAUGACCACUGCUCUAUGGAGAGUUAGCUGUCACUUGUUUUCUAAUGUACAGUCCACUGGUUUUGUUGACUUGCAGCGUUUAUCAUGUUCCUCCCCUUCUUUUUUUCCCCUCAAAACAUUAUUCUUUUUGUUUUUCUGCUAAGGAUUGAGCUGAGGGCCUUGUACAUGCCUGCUAAAAUUAGGCCUCCAGGUAGCAAUAAAUAAACAAGCUUUCACAAGGAUCGGCGCCUACCCCUAUCAGAGUUCUUUCAUCUUUUGUAUUUCCCAUUUACUAAUUUUUGUCAUGUCCCAUGAUUUCCCAGUCGUAGACCAUGGAUCAAGCCCAGUGUCUUAGGCUCCUGACUGAUCUGCUAAACUGUAAGGCAAGGCAGUUACAACUUUUCCUCUUCUCUCUAAAGUUUGAGUGAUUUUGAAUCUCUGGAGCAAACUGGCAGUGAACAGGAAAAAUGUAAAGAUUUAUUGUGUGCGUAUGCAUAGCAGUCUCAUAAAAUAAGGUGUCUGGGUAAACCCUUGCUUAGCAUGCAUGAGUCUUAGUCUCUAGCAUAACAAACAACUACAGAGAAAGAAUCAUUCCUGUUAUCUCUUUUUCUAACAGAAUAAACCAUCCUUUAUGUUCAAGAAGAAAUACUUCGAAAAAUGAGGUCUUUCGUACUCCCUAGGUCUCCAAUUUACUUGUAGGACUCACAAGCUUGAUAAUGGCAGACUGAACAUAAUUUAAGGUUUUAUUUAUUUAUUUUUAUUCUCUUCAUAUAUUUAUUUUUGAGUACUCCCACCCCUACCCCCAAGAUAGGGUUUCUCUGUGUAGCCCUGGCAGUCACUUUGUAGACCAGGCUGAUCUCCAACUCAAAUGAGCCUCUGCAUUUCUUGUGCUGGGAUUAAAGGUGUGCCCCACCACCACCCAGGUUUUUUUUUUCCUUCAAUUUUUUUUUUUUUUUUUUACAUUUGUUUGUUUGGAAGUGGAGGCACAGAUACGUGUCACGUGGUGGGUCUGUAUAGACCAAAGAACAAGCUGUGAAAGUCCAUUCUCUCCUCUCACCAGAUGGGUCCCAGAAAUUGACCUUAGAUCAUCACAGCAAGAACCAUCUUAUUAACCUUAAUUAAGGCUCUAGAGCUCAGAGGCCAAUAAAAAAGGUCAGCCGUGAAGUGAGCCAAGUGCGGAGGUGUACGUCGUUAUUGCUAGCGUUCGGAAGGCUGAGGCAGGAAGAUCUCUAUUCUUAAGUUGCUGCAGAAGAUGUUGAGAUGUAAACCAUGUGCUACAGCAAGGACCUUUGAAGUAGUUAAGUAGUUAAUUUGUUUAAUGUGAGAAUCGCCCUGAGUUUGAAAAA